rnacentral:lncRNA from 1 species
GGAAGAGAAAAAUAAACUCGUAGUUCGGUCUUAGGAGCCCGGAUGACUAUGUCUUUUUACUUUUGAAGUGUGUUUUUUCUUUCAUCCUCACCCCUCCUCUCAGUUUUGAGACAAGGUCUCACUACCUGCCUUGAAUUUUGAGAUCCUCCUGCUUCAGCCUCCUGAGUGCUGGGAUUACAGGAAAGUGACACCAUUCCUAGCUGAACCGGGAAUUAAACUCAGGACCAUGCGCUUAUGGGGACAACGCCCACCUCCUGGGUUACUGUUAAGACGAGGACUAUGACCACACGGGUCACACCAAACACAAUACUUGGCCCAGCUGCUCCCCCUGCCUCGCCGCAGAAAUCGCCUGUCCCAUGCAUGAAGAGCACCUCAUCAGCAAACUCUGACCCAAGCACUCAGAAUAAGCCUUCUUUGUUCAGGUGCUGAGGAUCUCAGCUCCGUCUUGAAUUUUGUAACUACAGGAAUAAAUGUUUAAAGUACCUGGGUGUGGUUUGCUAACACAAUUAAAAAAUUUUUUGAGGGGGCAACCCACUUUCUAGUCCCUUCUGUCUCUUAGACAGCAGCUUUCUCUCAGUACAAUUUUCCUCUUAAACUGAAAAAAAAAAAAAAAAGAAAUUUUUUUUUUUGAGACAGGGUCUCACUAUGCUGUCCAGGCUGGCCUCAAACUUUCCAUCCUCCUGGCUCAGCCUCUCGUCACUGGGACUGCAGGAAUACACCACCAGGCCUGGCAACCAACACACUGGGACAGUAUCUGUCACAGGAUAAACUCAAUAUUAAGUUUAUUAAAUCAAUGAC